rnacentral:tRNA from 1 species
CCCUAUUUGAUUCAAUUCCUAAAUAAGGAACUAGCCAAUAUGACUAGUACAUCUAUUUGUUACUGCGU